UACGUAGGGUGCAAGCGUUGUCCGGAAUUAUUGGGCGUAAAGGGCUCGUAGGCGGUCCAUCGCGUCGGGAGUGAAAAGCUGGGGCUUAACCCCAGUCCUGCUUCCGAUACGGGUGGACUAGAGGUAGGUAGGGGAGAUCGGAAUUCCUGGUGUAGCGGUGAAAUGCGUAGAUAUCUGGAGGAACACCGGUGGCGAAGGUGGCAUCCUGGACCAAUACUGACGCUGAGGAGCGAAAGCCAGGGGAGCAAACGGG
rnacentral:rRNA from 1 species